UGGGGAAUUUUGGACAAUGGGGGCAACCCUGAUCCAGCCAUCCCGCGUGUGCGAUGAAGGCCUUCGGGUUGUAAAGCACUUUUGGCAGGGAAGAAACAGCCUGGGCUAAUAUCCCGGGCGACUGACGGUACCUGCAGAAUAAGCACCGGCUAACUACGUGCCAGCAGCCGCGGUAAUACGUAGGGUGCAAGCGUUAAUCGGAAUUACUGGGCGUAAAGCGUGCGCAGGCGGUUCGGAAAGAAAGGUGUGAAAUCCCAGGGCUUAACCUUGGAACUGCACUUUUAACUACCGGGCUAGAGUACGUCAGAGGGGGGUAGAAUUCCACGUGUAGCAGUGAAAUGCGUAGGGAUGUGGAGGAAUACCGAUGGCGAAGGCAGCCCCCUGGGAUGAUACUGACGCUCAUG
rnacentral:rRNA from 1 species